AUGGGAAAUUUCAGGGGACACGUGGCGCCGGGGCUGGCGUUCUGCACCAUCGGGUUCUGGCACCUCUUCAACCACACCCGGAUCCACGCCGCCAGCCCCAAGACCUACGUCUCCCUCCCCUGGUUCCCCACCCGCCUCUCCCGCCACCUCGAGCUCUACUUCAUCGCCGCCGCCGCCGCCACCUCCAUCUCCAUGGAGCUCUUCAUCAUGCCCCGCCGCCACCACCCGCUCGACACCGACGCCACCAUCCCGGCCAACCACCUCCACAACUUCGAGCACUCCAACAUCUCCCUCUCCAUCCUCUCCUACGCCCUCUUCGCCCUCCUCCUCGACCGCCUCAACCCCCCCGCCGCGGGCGCCCUCACCCACCUCCUCGGCGUCGUCAUGCUCGCCCAGGAGUUCCUCCUCUUCCACCUCCACUCCGCCGACCACGCCGGCCUCGAGGGCCAGUACCACUGGCUCCUCCAGCUCGUCAUCUUCGCCGCCCUCGCCGCCACCCUCGCCAGCAUCCGCUACCCCAGGAGCUUCCUGCUCAGCUUCGCCAGGUCGCUGGCCGUGGCGGCGCAGGGGGUGUGGCUCGUCGUCAUCGGCUUCAUGCUCUACACCCCGGCCCUCAUCCCCAAGGGCUGCCUGCUCGCCAAGGACGACGGCCAUGACGUCAUCAUCUGUGACGUCGCCUCCGGGGCGCUAGACCGGGCCAAGUCCCUCGCCAACAUCCUCUUCAGCUACUACGUUGUCGGGGUCUCCGCCUUGGGAGUCGCCGCCUAUCUGGUGCUCUACUCCAUCUACUCUAAUGAUCGUCAAAGCCGUGUUGCCCCCGCCGCCGCCGGAAUCUUCUCAGAAGAUUACAACGACAGCGGCGGCGAAGAGAUGAAGGGGUUUCUACACGGCGAGCUGGGGAAUAAGGGAUCAUCAUUUCCGGUGCCAAGGACUUAAUUAGCUAGCUAGGCAGGGAGGCAGGCAGGCAUGCAUUAAUGUAUGAUUUUGUCAAUGGCAUAACUUUGGUACUCCAAUGGUAAUGGAGGAGAGGAGAUCAGGAGAUGGAUGGAUGGAUGCAUCCAAUAUAAUACUUACUAGCUAGGGGGAGAUUAGAGCAAGAGGAAAUGCUCCCAAAAGAAAAUAUAAAAAAAAAGAAAAAAGAAUGUAUUCUUGAAAUCAUAACAAAAAGACUAAAAUAAUCCUCUAAUUAAAUAA